rnacentral:lncRNA from 1 species
GACAAGCACACCUGACACUUUCUCAAAAUUCCAAAUAUGGCCACUGACUCAAAAAGCUUGGCGACCCCUGAGCUACAGAGACCAACAGGCCCUGAUUAGCCUUCCUAGCCCCUCUCUUCAGUGGGUUGUGACUAGGUCUUCAAGAGGUCCACAUUCUGCCCUGGAGCCUUGCCUUCUAUGGUGUUCUGUUUCUAGGCCUGCUGUCACUUCAGCCAAGGAUCUACAAGGGAGUAUGGAAUCCUGGGCAGAAGGUUGGUUCAUGGAUUUUCCUGAGGGCAGGAGCUACUUGCCCAGGUGAUCAGCGUAACCGUCAGGAACUAGGUGCAACAUCUGGCCUUUUCUCACAUGGAGGUCCAUGGUCCCCCAUUCUUCAGGUAGAACUGCCUUUUCCCUUUUGAAACAGGUGCUUCCACAUUGGGUUUGCCAAGCAGGUCUAGGAAGAUAAGAGUUGAUUCUCAAAGGAUACUACAAAUCCUGGUGCUUGAAGCAGUUUGGUUCAAGCAGUUGGUUUUGUGCUCAUGGGACAGUUUGUGUUUCAGGAGAAUGGGUUUGGAACCACUUGUCCUAUCGGACACUUAUUCUGAAUAUAUUUAUUACCUAUCAUGAUUACUUGAAUGUAUUGUCACAUUGAUAUGGUGCAAUUUAUUGAUCUAUGCUUGGAUAGAUUCCUUCCUUCCUUCCUUCCUUCCUUCCUUCCUUCCUUCCUUCCUUCCUUCCUUCUACCACUUAGCCAUUACGGCCAAGAGGCAAAUGGCUACCAUUGGUGUGCCCAAGGAUUUCUGCAUACCUGGUGGAAUCUCUGACUUUUCUUUAUUACUGCAACAGUCUCUUGCCUUCCCACGUACACUGUGGGAGCACGGGGAGGGCUGUAAAUCAGUUUUGCAUGCAGGCUUGAUCCUGGCAUCUCCCGAAAGGGCUGGAAAAGAUCCCUACCUGAAACCCCAGACACCCCUGAGCUUGAUGGGCCAGUAGUCUAUUUUGGUAUAAGGCAGUUUCCUUUGUACCAUAUCGCGGAACUAAUGUUCAUUUUCCAAAAUGGUUGGCUGUGUCUGUGGCAUGCAUGACUCCAGAGCACCCCUGAGCAUUUGGAGCACAGCUGUGUGGUUCUUUGGAUCUUACCCCAUACAAUUAUACACCGGCACAAAUCAUACACAGUUCUACGGAAUGGGAGGAGGAGCUUUCUGAAAUGUAGCGUUAUUUUAAAAUGUGUUAUCUAGGUGGUGCCAUGCCUAAAUAGAGCACAGCAAAGACAGGCGGGUGGGUCCAGUGCGCUUGCUGUGCAUUGUUUGGGCUGCUUGUGGUCUGUCUAGACUCAUGACUUCUACUUGGUUUCUGACCGGCUGUGAUAUUUGUGCUCUUCCUCCCUGUCUUUAACAUCAGUGGAUGCUUGAGCCUCAACCGUAAAAUGACAGCAGUUGAGCUCAUGCUUGAAUUAUAAUAACAAUGGUUAAAUUAAGCUCUUGUGGGAGGGGGACUGAAAGGGUGAUGUGUAAUUUUCUGGACUGCUUUUUGUUCUUUUAUGUGCCUUCAUGAUGUCACCUGCUUUCUUUUGAGAAAUAGACCCUUUUGUUUGGUUUCCCCUUUUAUAUUUAGAAUUGUUGUCAAGCAUUUUCAGCACAGGAAUAGAUGGUUGCAUUUUCACUUUUCUUUUUUCCCCUUUUUUGUAAAAAAAAAUGGUUUUAUCAGUUCCAUUUUUGUAUAAAACACAUGGGAGAAACCUAGCCAAUCAACACAUAAAUUGCUGCUGCAUAACAAGGUACUUUUGUGUCAAACUUUGAAUCUAAAGAACAUACAAAUGUUUUAAGUCUACAAUCAUUUGUCUAUGCUCUUCCAUUUAACUAUUUUUUAAAAAAAAAAUAUAUCAGCAUAUCCCCAUAUUUCUUCUGUCCCAGUUACAGUACAAUGACAGCGAGGAAGAGGGUUGUUUAGAACUCCUCUCUAUGCAGUUUUCUGCUGCCCCUUCUUUCCAAUCAGAGACUUGUGGGUGUGAGGAAUUACACCUCCCCAGCAAUAGUAGCUUUAAUAAGGGAAUCCAAUUCCUCAUCACUACGAAUAGCAAGCUGCAAAUGACGAGGAGUGAUACGUUUUACCUUGAGAUCCUUGGAGGCAUUACCUGCCAGUUCCAAAACCUCUCAUGUAGAGUUGGACCUUAGAUGGAGGGUGUUGGUGGAAAUCUUUCUCAAGCAAAGGAAGGAAGGAAGGAAGUCCCUCCCUGCUCAUGGAAUCCCUAUUGCUAGGGGAUACAAAGAAGAAGAGGAGGAGUUUGGAUUUGAUAUCCCACCUUAUCACUAUCCGAAGGAGUGUUAAAGCGACUAACAUUCUCCUUUCCCUUCCUCCCCCACAACAAACACUCUGUGAGGUGAGUGGGGCUGAGAGACUUCAGAGAAGUGUGACUAGCCCAAGGUCACCCAGCAGCUGCAUGUGGAGGAGUGGAGAUGCGAACCCGGUUCCCCAGAUUAUGAGUCUACUGCUCUUAACCACUACACCAUACUGGCUCUCUCUCACAUCUUCAUCCAUUACACCUGGUGGACCACCUCUAAGAUUCUUGAAGCAAAUGCUUAAAAAUGUGGCUGAAUGAGACAAAAACUUGUGGGAGGAAACAUGUAUCAUACAGGGACAACUCAGGAGGCAGCCAAGGAUUGAACGUAUGGUUUCACACUCAGGGUUGUUGCAUGUAAUGGCUGCCAAACCCCUGAGCACAUAAAAGCUCUGGUGAGCAGAAGAAAAUAACUGCAGACACCUGUUUCUCCUGCAUUCCCCCCUCCCCGUCCCUAUUGGUUAGUUGGCGAUUGACCAAAUUAAGAGGUGCUCUUGGUUAAAUUGUUUGCAAGGGUUUCCAAAGGGGUAGCUUUGUUUGCCCAUCUCAGCAAAAAGAACCGAGAGUCUUGUGGCACAUUAGGGAAUAACAAAACCCCUUUUGUGCUGGGCUAGUGUGUCCCACUGCCCAGCCCUGCUGGUCUCCUGGCAGCCUCCAACUGCAGAGUGACAACGGUGUGACUCUACUGGUGUGAAGGUCUUGCUCAGGAUUCCUGCUGGUGUUGUCAAAUUCAUCUUAGACUUCCUUUACAGAGCUUUCCAGAGGCAGGAAGGAAGUGGAACUGAGCUGGCCCAGGCUCUGUUUUUUUGUUGUUGUUUACAACAAUGUUUUCCACACUAAAACCUGUUGUCAGGGACAUCUGCCCCACUCGCUUGCGUUCUGCAAUUAGUUUAAAUUAAUCCGACCAAUUAAGGUUUUCCACAGUCAUUUAUUGUAACUUUUCGAAAGCAGUUAAUUGGCAAAAAUGCUGCAAUUGGCUGACAGCUCUAUUAGAGAGUUCAGUCUGUCUGUCCAUCCCCCCCAGACUAAUUCAGCUGUUUGUGGGCAUCUGAGAAAGUGGGUGAGAACCAGCAGAAACUUAUUUUGCCAUAACAACAUUAUAGCAUACUAACUCGAAGGUGGGUUAUGUCUGCCCACCCAGAACAUACUAGAUCAAGUGGGUUUCAUAUGACUGAGUGGGAAUUUGAGCCAGGGUCUGCCAAGUCCAACGUUCAAGAGUGGGGAAAGUGUGGUUUUUUGGAUGUCACUGAACUACAACUCCCAUCAGCCCCUGCAAGCCCGUGUCGAGGGUUGAUGGAAGUUGUAGUUCAGCAACAUCUGGAAGGCAAAAGGUUCUUCACACCUUUUCUAACUGCUGCACCACAUGGUAACCUUUAUGUCCCCAUACCAGCAACCUGCCAUUUUGGAAAAUGCUUUGGGUGUCUCCCUGGGGACUUUCCAACUUCCUCCCCCACCCUUUUUGAUAGCUUUGAUGAGGUGGCUCCUGGCCAAGGAGCCUGUCACAGCGCCAAUGGGGACUCUAAACAUUAUGUUUAGGCUCACGGCAGCUCCUCCAAAGUACAUCUUUGCCAUUAAGAAGCCUGCUCAGAACGAAAACGUUCCAUCACUGCCCAGAAUGCACCCAUUGGCCCCGGGCCACUCAGUAUCGUUCCAGCAGGGCUGCUGUUCUUUAAAAAAUAAUUUCCAUGUUUUUAUUUCUGUGAUGUACCACCAUACAUGAAGCCCUAUUAAAUUCUUGGCCCACAGCACAGAACAGCCAUCUGGGUUUCAUUGAGCAGCGAAAUAAUAUGGUAAUUAAGAAACCGUGGUGGAGCCAGGGCUUGGGAGGCUAAAAAUAAAACCAAUUUCUGCAUGAGACAUUGUACCUCCGAGCUUCAUUCACUUCUCUCCCCCAGCCCCCAUUUUGCCAGCCAUGUGCCCCCUCCAGCAUCUCCCCCACCCACAACAGCCUGCUUUAUGCCCUUCUCACAAUAAUUAAUCUCUGCCAAAUUAAACAGCUUAUUUUUUUUCCAUUUCACAGUGUAUGGGGAGUAAAAUCCGGAGACUGCCCUGGGUCAGAAAGCAGGUACGCUUUUAAAAAGACACAAUGGCCACAUUCACGCCAUGCAUUGGAAGUGCUACGCUACCGCUUUAACCAGUCAUGACUUCCCUCCCAAAGAAUGCUGGGAGCUGUAGUUUGUUAAGGGUGCUGGGAGUUGAUAGGAGACCUCCCCCCCCCCCACUUCCCCUCACGGAUUAACAAUUCCCAGGGUUCCCUGGGAAGAGGGGUUGGGUGUUAAACCACGGUGGGAAACUUCACUGGUGGUUAGUUAAACCCAGGAGUCAUUGCACUGACUCUCACUUUGCCCCUGAAACCUGGAACCCACCCUGAAAACUUCAGUGUUUUCUGGCCCAGAGUACAGUGGUACCUCGGGUUAAGUACUUAAUUUGUUCCGGAGGUCCGUAUUUAACCUGAAACUGUUCUUAACCUGAAGCACCACUUUAGCUAAUGGGGCCUCCUGCUGCCGCUACACCACCGCAGCAUAAUUUCUGUUCUUAUCCUGAAGCAAAGUUCUUAACCUGAAGCACUAUUUCUGGGUUAGCGGAGUCUGUAACCUGAAGCAUAUGUAACCUGAAGCGUAUGUAACCCGAGGUACCACUGUAUUCAAGUUUUUCAUGGAUGCCAAAAGCAGAGAGCUCCUUUCUUGCAUCAUGCAGAUAACAUCACAUGUAAGCCGAGGGAUUUACAUAGGCAGCCUUAUCCAGAGGAGUACAAUGUGCUUGAUUCUCCUCCCUGAAAAAGAAAAAGUGGGACAGCUGAAGAAAUUUGCCUCCUGCACAGAUGAGCCCCUGCAUGGAAAAGCAGACACUCUUGAGAUGUUAUCUGCUCACCAGACCCAGGGAGUGCGGGAACAGCACUUAGUUGAAAAAGAUGACGGUCUGUUUCUGUCUACGGCGCUUAGCGUCUGCAGUCUCCUCCUGGAGUUGUGGCCUCUCCUGCAGUAGAAAACCAAGAGAUGCGAUGAAUAAAGAUGUUAACGUUUGGCCUUGCCAAAAGGGAGCCCAAAAGGGGUAGAUGCUUCCGCCCUUAUCCGACAUGGCUGAUCAAUGAACGGAAUGAAGACCCCCUCAGAUUGCCCUCUGGAUUAGCUUUUAGACACACAGCUCACAAGAAUUUAAGAAAUCCAACAGCCACUGCCUGGGCUGUGCUGGAUCGGGCAUGGGGGGCAGCGCACAGCUUUUAACACGGGUGGGGGAACCUUUUUUGGCUACCCUGUGGAUUGACUUUGACAGGUGGGCAGGGCAACCCACCUGUCAAUCACAUGGCACCACACCCGUCAAAAUCCUGUGCAUGGGGUUCCCAACUGAAAACCAGCUGGCUGGAACUUGGGAACCACAGCACAAGAAGGUCUUGCCAGCUCUAUGCACAGUCCUUUAGGAAGAACUGCACAUAGGGUUGGCAAAGCGCUUCUUUCUCACCUUCCCAUCAGGUGAUGGUGCUGAUCAUCUUGGGGAGAGGGGGUGCAGGGCCCUGGUUUCCCCCCUUCUCCCAGUGUGCAAUUAGUGCUAUCCAAGCUAAUAGUGUGACCCUCAAUUCUGGAUGAAUACAUGCUGAGAUUUGCUCAAGGAUCUGUGGGCUGAAGGAACAGUCUCUUGCAGAAGUUCCUCCAAAGUUUGCCUGUGAAUGCAUAAUGAUGAUUUCUAAUGAGAUAUCCACACAAUGGUAGUGAUACGGAUGGAUAUUUGGCAGCAGACAUAGGCUGGAGCUGGAUGAGAGGGCUAGUGAGAGGCUUUCCGCUCUCCUCUGCAUGCCCAUAUUCAUACCCAAAUUCUGAAUUCUGCUUCUGAAUCUGUCAGGCACAGUAGUCUUGGUUGCUACACAUGCAAAAAGGUGUGAGAUGAGAAGGAGAAUUGGUACAAUGGCUGAAGUUACCACAUAGGUUCUGAUGGCUUCUUGGAGCAGUAAUUUGUACCCACAAGGUGAGGGCUGUUUCAUAAAUGGAGGGUUGUAUGAUCUGCAACCACAGUCUAUUACCUUCUUCUUAUUCUGCUGGGUCCUCUUCUGCCCACGCUGACAAAGCAGUUUGCAAGGAGAGAACAGGCGGGCAGAUGUGGGGCAUUGAUAAUCAUCUUUGUUAUGACUACGGUGAUUUUGAUCCCAUAGUGUGUGAAGGCUUCUGAAACAAUAUGGUCGAAAUAGUCUUCUCUACUUUCCCAAAUAUGACAUAUUUCUCUAGUGAUCUCAUGGCCAUUGCAAGUCAUGUUUCUCUGUCAACAGUUUUCUGAAAGUCAAUGUGUCUACUUUGCAGUUAAAUAUCUUCCCAGACCUAGAUCCUAAAUGGAUAGAAGAAAGCCUUGCACAAGCCGGCAGGAGCCAUGCUAAGCUGCUCUCAGCUCUCAGUUUAGUCACCCCUCUGUGUACUGCAUCCCUCUCUGAUAAGCAAUAACCACAAGAAGGGAAAACAGCAAUCUGCAAAUACGCCAUUAGGUUUUGCGGGGGGUUGGUGGGGGGAGACGUCUAUGUCUGGACCGAUCUUUGUUUUUUAACCACAAUGUGCUCACCCCCCCAAAAAAAAACUUCUGAGUCAUUUCAAACUCUGGAGGCUGGAGUCAGCUCAACCACCAAAAAGGCUUUUGCAUGCCAAUGUCUGUUUUAUUUUCAUAUCUCAGGAAAGAUGCGGAGUCCUGACAACCUAAUGAGCUAACCAAAAGGCUUGACAAGCAAACGGAGGAAAUUUAUGUUAGCGCCCCGACAUCUGCAAUUCACAGAACCCUCAAUCAUUUCUUCACUUCGUGUGUGUGUGUGUGUGUGUGUGUGUGUGUGUGUGUGUGUUUCAGUGAUGGAUGCUUUCAGAUGAUAUCUCUAUCCCAUGGUGGUUGUGAUCAACGCAAGGUUUCUACAACAUUUAGGCAGUACCCCAAGCAUUUUUUUAAAGCAGAUUACCAUGCAUUCAAAGAAGGAAAAAUAUGAGUGUAUCUGGACCCUGCCCAGUGAAAGAACUCAUCUACUUCAGUAAACAGCACAGCAGCCAUGAGAGGUCAAAAUGGAGGACAAGAAUGGGAGGACAACUCGGAGCUACUUCGUGCAAGCUUCUUUACAGGAAGGGUCAGAGCAACCAAUCUGGCUCAAUUCCUGGCCUCUCCGGUUAGGGCUAGGAGAGACUCCUUGUCUGAAAUCCUUGAGAGAAGCUGCCUGCUAGUCUCUACAGUAUUGAGCUAGAUGGGCCAAGGGUCUGAGUCAGUAGGAGGCUGUAUAAUGAAGGGGACAGACACGCCUACCUCUGUGGAAAGUUUCACAACUUAGGGGCUGCCACCGAGAAUGAUCUCUCUUGCCCACUCCUGCCUGAGCUUCUGAGGGUGGUGGAACAACCAGGUAGGCACCCUCCACCAAUCUUAGCACCUGAGAGGGUCUGUAGGAGAGGACAAGGCCUUUCCCGUAUUUGAGACCCAAGUUCUUUGGGGCUUUAAACCUUGAACUAGGCCGGGAAACGAACUGGCAACCAGUACAGCUGCUUUAAAACAGGAGUUCCAUGAGAUCUGAAAAGAACCCCUGCCAGUAAUCUAGCUGCUGCAUUUUGGACCAAGUGAGUCAUCUUCAAGGACAGCCUCCUGUAGAACACAUUAUAAAAACCUAAUCUGGAAGUUGCCAGAGCAUGGAGCACAGGGGCCAAGUCACCUCCUUCCAGCAGGGACUGUAGCUGGAGAACCAGCUGUAACUGGAAAAAAGGCAUUGCAAGUCACUUGAACCUCCAGUCAGUGAUAGGAGCGCUCCAACACUGCAGACCUGCUGCUUCCAGGGGAUAGUAAUCCUGUCCAUAGCAGGCCAUCUUCCCAUCUCUCAGACAUGAGGACCUGGGACACAUAAAACCUCUGUAUUUUAUGAGGGUUCCCCCCCCCCCCCAGUUUACAGGCCCAUAUCCAGCCCAUCACCACCUAGGCAGCACAGCAAAGAUGCAAGAGGGAACUCCCUCUCCUUGGGGUAGCAGCUUGGUCAUCUGUUUGGCGCUGUGCUUUCCUAUUUGGCAGGAUGGAACCGAAGUGACCUAAUGACCUUGGGGUGUUUGCUCUCUCCCUGGGGCGCUUAGUCAUCUCUCUCAUCCUGCCAAGUGGUAAAGAAGAUUUCGCCACAUCAGCAGAUGGUUAUAUGCACAUGGUAAGUUUGUUGUCAAAUGGAAGAUGUCGAUGGCCAUCUGUACCCAGAACAUUUUUUUGGAGGUAUUCAAAUGGAUGCCGGAAAGCACCGCUGGAGUCUCAUAAUGAGGCCUGUUUUGAGCCCACCAUUUUGACAAAGCAAGGAAUUUCCUGCAAUUAUCGUUAUAAUUGUUACAAAUUGAUUGUAGGCUGCUGUGGGCUUCUCCAGACAACCUAUUGAGCGAGAUUUGUCUUUAACUGCUUGCCCGAAGCUUAGACUAUGCCUGGUCGUUAUUGAACAUUUGUUCUGAUUUAUUUGUGGAAUCUUCAUAGAUCUGUAGAGUUGGAAAGGACCCUGAGAGAUGCUCCUGCAGGAAUCUUUUGUCCAACAAGGGGCUCGAACACAUGACCUUGAGAUUAAGAGUUUCAUGCUCUACUGACUGAGCUAUCCAAGUUGGUGGUCAUCACAGCCUCCUACCUGAGUAACUUCCAUGGCUUAACUAUGUGCUGCAUGAUGGAACAGAUUUGUGAAUGGGUAGCGGGUGGCGCUGUGGGUUAAACCACUGAGCCUCUCAGGCUUGCUGAUCAGAAGGUCGGUGGUUUGAAUCCCCGUGACGGGGUGAGCUCCCGUUGCUCGGUCCCAGCUCCUGCCAACCUAGCAGUUCAAAAGCACAUCAAAGUGCAAGUAGAUAAAUAGGUACUGCUCCGGUGGGAAGGUAAAUGGUGUUUCCGUGCACUGCUCUGGUUCGCCAGAAGCGGCUUAGUCAUGCUGGCCACAUGACCCAGAAGCUCCCUCGGCCAGUAAAGUGAGAUGAGUGCCGCAACCCCAGAGUCGUCUGUGACUGGACCUAAUGGCCAGGGGUACCUUUACCUUUAGCAAUAGCUCCAUAUUGCUCCCAUGUUAGCUGCUACAGGCACAUUGCUUAUUUCUCCCCUAAGAAAUACAGACUUGGAUAGGGCUGGUAUAUACAGUGGUACUUCGGGUUAAGUACUUAAUUCAUUCUGGAGGUCAGUUCUUAACCUGAAACUGUUCUUAACCUGAAGCACCACUUUAGCUAAUGGGGCCUCCUGCUGCUGCCGUGCUGCCGGAGCAUGAUUUCUGUUCUCAUCCUGAAGCAAAGUUCUUAACCUGAAGCACUAUUUCUGGGUUAGCGGAGUCUAUAACCUGAAGCGUAUGAAACCUGAAGCGUAUGUAACCUGAGGUACCACUGUACCAAAAAAUCCCCAGCUGUUGAAAUGUACCAAACACUCUGCCCAAUUUUGCAGUGCUGUUAAAUCUUUGUCCCUUGGUUGACCUAUGGUUUUAGGAGCUGAUGACUCAAGGAUGACUCAGCAUCCCCAUUGCUGCUCUGCUCCUGCUCCUCAGCAACCAACAGCAAAACGAGCCCAGCUGGAGGUUGGUUCCUGCACCAGGUUUCCGCAGAAGUUCAUUUACUGGUCCGCUGCUGUUCAAUAUCCUUAUUCAUUAGUGUCAAGGAAUGUAGACUGGAGAUUGGGCUGAUCAAAUUUGUGGCUGGUACAAACCUAAGAGGGAUCUUGGAUUCUUGAGAAGAUAACAGCAGGAUUAAAACCCUUAGCAUAAAUAGCUUUUCAUAAAUGAGAAAAAACUGGGUCAAUAUAAAUAAAUCACGACUCAUGUAAGAGGUUCGCAUGGGGGCUGAACUGCAAGCAACGGGCACAAAUACUGGAUUGGUGAGGGGAGCACAGCAGUGGGGCAGGAGAGUCAAAGAGAGAAGGGCAACAGAAUCAUUUUAGCUCAUGGUGGGAGAUGCACUGGACAUGAAUCAGUGCUAUGAGGCCACAGUCAAAAUGCUCCCUGGUCAGGCAUAACGCUGCAUUUACAAAAAACAAACAAACCAAGGCAUGUAAACAGUGAAAUCAUUAUUCUGCCCUGCUUAGUUCUGGUUAAUGGUAUUACAAAUACAGGAAGAAAGAGCACAACCAGAAUAGCUCUGCUCUCUUCUUCUUUUACAGUAAGGUAAAUUGGUUUCAAGCAUUCACAGUCCUCAGCUGACAUCGUCAAUUGAAGCAAGAACCAGGAGGUCACCGAAUCAGAAUAGCAAAAUGGACUCAAAACCACAAACGCAGGUGCCAUGAUCCAGG